ensembl:lncRNA
GCAGUAUACAGUAUAUUUGAGUUGAGGAAGGUGUGUGGUGUAUCUGCAGUAUAUUUGAGUUGAGGAAGGUGUGUGGUGUAUCUACAGUAUAGUAUAUUUGAGUUGAGGAAGGUGUGUGAGGUAUCUACAGUAUAUUUGAGUUGAGGAAGGUGUGUGGUGUAUCUACAGUAUAUUUGAGUUGAGGAAGGUGUGGUGUAUCUGCAGUACAGUAUCUUUGAGUUGAGGAAGGUGUGGUGUAUCUGCAGUACAGUGUAUUUGAGUUGAGGAGAUCACACACGUGCUGAAUGGUUCAUACCGGAGUUGAGAGGACUGAUGGCAUGAAUAUGGUUAUCUGUCGCAUUCAGACUUGUGGAUUUGCCACAGUGUUGACGUGAGGCACCCUGGGAAGACAAUUAGCAUGUCCCAGGGAGAGACAGAGAGAGG